ensembl:lncRNA
GCCAUAAAGGAAUAAUACGAACUACUAUAUUAACUUACCACUGAUGGUGCUUAUGAAAAUAAAAUAAGAGAUCUUCUUGCUUUGACACUUGAUUUGGAUAUAGCAUUUGUGUGCAUAUUCAGUGUAGGAUGAUAUAAUCUUUUUUAAAUGUCUAAAUGACUAAGAUUAAUGGAUGUUAUACAGGACAUGUUGACUUAAGGGUGUCAAGCUUUUACUAAAUCUAAAUCUUUACUAAACAACAUACAUUUCUGUCAUACUACUACUAAUAAUGAUAAUAGCCUGAGAACUGCCUGAGAUCAGUGUGAUGGUUUAAAAUGGUUACAACUAACGUUCGAUUAGAAUGAUCUUGUUCGCUGUAGCACUAAAUCCCACUUUGCAGAGCGUCUCCAUGGUUUUCGUCAAUCGGUCAGUUGAUCUGAAACAGAUCUACAUAUCGAAGUGAAGAAGUUGUCAGAAAAGAAAAUAGUCAGCCACCGUCAGAAUACUAAAAGUUGUAAAAAAUAUCAAACAUCUUUGGCUAAAGACUUCUUAAGAAAAUACAAAGAAAUGCUUGUGAAUAAAACUUCUGGCCGAUGGCGCCUUGCAUCCCACCUUCCAAACCGAAGAAUUGUGAAGCUUGAUAAGAAGACUCAUGAAGAUGUCAUUGCCAUUAUUGAAAACCUCAGCAAUGAGCAAUGGGGAACUUUGACCAAAGACUUCAAUGAUGUCACCAGAGUGGACUUUGCAAAGAUUUGUGUAGGGAUUGUGCAGCACUUGACAGACACCACCUACAAGAAUAUCAAACUAGCUAUUGAGCAAAUGGUGAGCUUAAGUCAAAAACCAAAGGAGGACACUAUCCAGGGAUCCAAGCCAUCUGCAACAGCUGCAUUACGUCCUCCUACUAUUGUGCCCCCUAUGGAGUCACCUCAGGGGAAUGCUGUCGUCGCAGAAAUUGUGCAGGAGGUCAAACUAGCCCUGUCAGCAGCCUUGGACAACAGGGUGUCAGGGAAAGAUUCAUCCUCUGCCACCACUGAAGGAUGGAGUGCCCUUUUCCUCAGACUGGAAGAGGACACUUUAAGUGCACUCAGGGCGAGACUGGACUGCUCCGAUUUUAUUGCUCAAAAGACUAAGGCCAGCUGUCCGUCGAGUGAGGAUCUUCAGAUGGACUCUGAGGUCAAAGAAACCAGCGGCCUAGCGGUGCCUUCUGAUGAGGAGAGAAGCACUCCACAGCCUGAGGAUGGUGUCGAUGAGCCUGAGACCUCUUCCAAGGAGGAGGAGGUCACGACAGCCUGCACAAAUGAAGUGAUCAGUCAGAUGUAUGAUGCUUACCAAUUAGCUGAGCUGGAGGAGCAGCGUCUCAGAGCUGCCAGAGAAAGAGAAUCAGAAGUGUCCCUCUUGACCGACCAUUUUGUGGACAGUGUAAUGAUCCAGCUCAAAGAGCUAGCCUCCCCUGGGAAGACCUCGGCCUUUCAGUGGAUUCCAAAGGAUGUACUUUUACCAGCUAUUAGGGCUUCACAUGCUGCGGAUCAGGACGUCUUUAGUCCACAGUUCCAGAUCAUAGCUCAGCAGAAGGUUCAGGAGGUCCUGUACUGGCCCUUGACUGGGGAGGCACCUUCGGGUCACGCACCUUCUGCAGCCACAGACAUUGUAGGAGCACUAGUGAGAGGCAUGAGCAAUUUGUCACAUUCAGUUGGAACCUUCAAUUCUGCAGAGGGGGAUAAUGACACCUCGGGCUCAGCUCAGCACAUAUACAACAGUGUCCAGGACAAGGUGAAGGUAUACUUAUGGGGCACGAAGCCCCAUCAGCAGGACAGCGACUCACAGUUAGUUGAGAGCAGCAACGCUUAUGAUACGGAGAGUUCCGGCGAGACAAGUGAAGAUGAUUUCAACUUAGCAUCCUCAGAAGAUGGGGCGUCUCCACAGCCGUCACAAACUAGUCCAUUUCUGGAGAAAAAGCACUCUAACAACGUAGCCAGAUCACGAUCUCCACAGCCGUCACAAACUAGUCCAUUUCUGGAACCACAGUCCUCCCCGGCAUCAUCACCAAUGCGUCACCUCUUGGACACGCCCUCUUGGAGAACGGUCGUUAACAGGGUGCGCAAGUUACUCUGCUGUUCAAGUCCAUCUGAAACAGUUACCCAGACGAAGGAUGAAGACACAUCAAGUGUGGCAGAGGCAGGAACUUCAGCAUUGCACAACCUGUCUGAAGCACAUGUGUCUGAUAUUAUUGUGAUCAUGGACAGAGAGGAUACUUUUUUUCCAGUAUAAACAGUCAGGAUCUCAGGACUCUAAUGUCGACUCAUUGCCCAACACUCCAGAGACCUUUUAAAUGGACUUUCUUAUGUGUGAAGUAAACAUGACAUAGCAGAGGAAUGAAAAUGAUGCCAAGUUAUACUUUAUACUUUUUAAGUUCACUGAUGGUCACAUGGAUGAUGAAGAUGGCGCUGCCGUGUGAGAAGCCUGCUAAUAGCAUAGGCUAAACAGAAGCUAACUUAUGAAUGGAAAGCAGGUGGAGCCUCAGUGAGACAUUUCAGAAUUAUAUUUAAUUUAUCAAACAAUACAUUUAAUCCAGAACUCAUACAGAUUUUGAAACGUAUCGCAU